AGCAGUGUGGCUUAGUGGAUAGAGCAUGGGCCUGAAAGAAGGACCUGGGUUCUAAUCCCAGCUCCGCCA
rnacentral:tRNA from 1 species